rnacentral:misc_RNA from 1 species
CAGAGAGUUCGAGUUGCGUCGUCGGGAGAAUGUGGUUCGCGUGAAAGAGAGAGCGUUGGAUCCGUGCACAGUCUCUGGCAGUUGGGAAUCUACCUAAUAUUGUAGGUCCCACAUGUCUCCAACUAUUCCCAAAAAUGAUUGCUACUUACUCUGCAUGUACGCAUUCAGGCAUUAGAAUACUGCUGUUUUAAUGCCGGAAACAGAUGGCCCUGCGCCUUCGAAUACUAGAACCUCGUGCACGAGUGCCACAAGAUACAG